rnacentral:lncRNA from 1 species
GGGCAAGGUGGCACUAGGCGGAACCUCCAGGGACUAGAAGGACGCGAGCUCAGAGCUCCAGAAGGGUCUGCCCAAAAGCUCGGCAGCGGCAAAACCGGUAGCCUGGAGUCGCCAAGCUGGAGCUGGAAGUGGAGUUCCGUGGGUUUGGGGCAGCGGCUGCUGGGCAGCGCCUUCUCCAGACCGAGACCCCAGCGCAGAAUGACCAGAGGGCGGUGGCCUCCCGGCGGAGUGGCCGGGCCAGGAGCGUGCUGCGCUGGUUCUCCACCGCGGUCCUGUACGCCGCCUUCCUGGGGCUGGUGAGAGCUGAGGCUGCGCCCCUCCCAGGCUGGGGCGCGAGCCUCCCACCGGGGACCUGCCCUUCCCAGCUGGACUCUCGCCUUCGCUGCCUGCAUGUUCGUUCUGUGACUCUGGGCACUUCAGGCUCAUCGGCUAUCUCAUGGGUGCUAUUUUAAUCACUGAGGGUUGCUGUCCAGUUCGAAAUCGAGUGCACUGUUUUCUAACCGCGGCAAACUUUCCUAGCAUUGCCUGGGGCUGUAGCCACCGCACUCUGAACUAUCACUUACUAUACAAUAAACUCUUUUCGAGC